GGUCGGAUGGUGGGAAUGGCAAUAGUAGAAGGAGCUCGAGCUGCUAAAGACGCGCCGACCUGAGGAGGAAGUUGCUAGUCUGGUCGAGCUCCAAGAAGUGAGGUCGGCGCGGCGCGGAAAUGGGCUAAUGGACAGAAGAUGCAUCGAUCUGAUGAGGAAGUCGCCGGUCUGGUUGAGCUCCAAGAAGUGAGGUCGGCGCGGCGCGGAAAUGGGCUAAUGGACAGAAGAUGCAUCGAUCUGAUGAGGAAGUCGCCGGUUUGGUUGAGCUCCAAGAAGUGAGGUCGGCAUGACCAGGUAGCAAUCCGACCUUGUAGGUCGGCGCGGCAUGACCAGGUAACAAUCCGACCUUGUAGGUCGGCACGGAAAUGAACAAUGUCGG
rnacentral:lncRNA from 1 species